rnacentral:misc_RNA from 1 species
UCUGUUUUCUUUGCGGUUCUUACGUCAUGGCCGGUAUUGUUGUUAUAUGGUUCAUAUACAGUGAUUAUUCCUCUAAAGCCGCCUGUCUUCGUUCAGGGUAAGACUUGCCUGGUAUCGGACAGUAUGGUGGAGACAAUGUAUCCAUUGAUAUUUGUCAUUUUCUUGCUGUCCGCUCAUUUCUUGGUUGACAUCGUACUGAUUGCCCUAUACUCAUUCGUGGGACGAGUUAUCUAUCACCAGCAAGCUUUCCGGAAGUCCAUGAUCAUAAAUAGCUCAAUUAAAAACUCCACAAAGCCAGUCAACAAAUCAGACGGGUCUAACUCUAAUUUUACCGUGGAUGAAUUAGAAGAACAUCGUCCUACCUUAAAAAAAGCACAAUCAGAAAACAAAAGAAUAUCUCUCGUGUUUUGGAAGAAAUUAUCUCUUGAUUAUAGAAGGUCAAAAGUUCAAAAGAACCCUUCAAGCCAAAAGAAAAAAGUAAUAAAGGAACUCAAACAAUCGUUAAAAGGUCACCCUUCGAUCGAUUCUAAUACCGCCAAAUCAGGCAGCAAGUUUCGCGCUGGGAGAACCACCUUCAUGCUUUUUCUAGUGACCGUGUUGUUUAUCCUGUCUUUUCUGCCCUAUUCUAUUCUGGUGAUCGUACGUUACACAGACCCAGGGUUCUACACUAGACUGACUUCCGGUGGUAAAGCGGUCUACAAUGUAUUCCUCCGCUCCUAUCUGCUGAACUCUGUGGUGAAUCCACUGGUUUACUGCUUCGUCAGUAAAGAAUUCAGAUCACGCUGUAAAGACGUCAUUCACUCGUUAGUUUGCUGCCUCCGUGACUAAUGAAUUCAAUUUUUGAGCGGUGCAUGUGUUUUUGAAAUCGUUUUUUCUUGUGCAUUACUAUUUAGACACUUUUUUAAUUAACUUUUAUAAUAAAAAAUGUAUUUGCGUAAAAAACGUAUUUUCUAAAACUAG